AUGGACCAAGUUGACAAAAUGGGUCUUGGCACAUCGACCCUAUCCUUGGGGCAGCUGUCUCUGGCUACCGUAUGUAAGCUUUUCCAGGAGACUGCCAACAAGCACAGCCAGCUCUCAAGCUGUAUUGCGCAAAGAUUUGCAGCCCACAAAGAUCGGGAGUUUUUCCCAAAGGACCUCUUAAGUGAGAAACUGAGAUCUCAAAAAGUUCACCAAGACCUCCAGGAUCCAUCAUCUUCCUCAUCCUGA
ensembl:lncRNA